rnacentral:siRNA from 1 species
AGCAGUCCUAAGUGAACAUGCAGA